AACAGGAUUAGAUACCCUGGUAGUCCACGCCGUAAACGAUGUCGACUUGGAGGUUGUUCCCUUGAGGAGUGGCUUCCGGAGCUAACGCGUUAAGUCGACCGCCUGGGGAGUACGGCCGCAAGGUUAAAACUCAAAUGAAUUGACGGGGGCCCGCACAAGCGGUGGAGCAUGUGGUUUAAUUCGAUGCAACGCGAAGAACCUUACCUACUCUUGACAUCCAGAGAACUUUCCAGAGAUGGAUUGGUGCCUUCGGGAACUCUGAGACAGGUGCUGCAUGGCUGUCGUCAGCUCGUGUUGUGAAAUGUUGGGUUAAGUCCCGCAACGAGCGCAACCCUUAUCCUUUGUUGCCAGCGAUUCGGUCGGGAACUCAAAGGAGACUGCCGGUGAUAAACCGGAGGAAGGUGGGGAUGACGUCAAGUCAUCAUGGCCCUUACGAGUAGGGCUACACACGUGCUACAAUGGCGCAUACAAAGAGAAGCGACCUCGCGAGAGCAAGCGGACCUCAUAAAGUACGUCGUAGUCCGGAUUGGAGUCUGCAACUCGACUCCAUGAAGUCGGAAUCGCUAGUAAUCGUAGAUCAGAAUGCUACGGUGAAUACGUUCCCGGGCCUUGUACACACCGCCCGUCACACCAUGGGAGUGGGUUGCAAAAGAAGUAGGUAGCUUAACCUUCGGGAGGGCGCUUACCACUUUGUGAUUCAUGACUGGGGUGAAGUCGUAACAAGGUAACC
rnacentral:rRNA from 1 species